GCCCGGCUAGCUCAAUCGGUAGAGCGUGAGACUCUUAAUCUCAAGGUUGUGGGUUCGACCCCCACGUUAGGCG
rnacentral:tRNA from 1 species